GACGAACGCUGGCGGCGUGCUUAACACAUGCAAGUCGAACGAUGACAUCGGAGCUUGCUCCGGUUGAUUAGUGGCGAACGGGUGAGUAACACGUGAGUAACCUGCCCCAGACUCUGGGAUAACAUCGAGAAAUCGGUGCUAAUACCGGAUACGAAACAGGAUCGCAUGAUCACUGUUUGGAAAGAAUUUCGGUCUGGGAUGGACUCGCGGCCUAUCAGCUUGUUGGCGGGGUAACGGCCCACCAAGGCGACGACGGGUAGCCGGCCUGAGAGGGCGACCGGCCACACUGGAACUGAGACACGGUCCAGACUCCUACGGGAGGCAGCAGUGGGGAAUAUUGCACAAUGGGCGCAAGCCUGAUGCAGCGACGCCGCGUGGGGGACGAAGGCCUUCGGGUUGUAACCCUUUCUAGCAGGGAAGAAGCGAAAGUGACGGUACCUAGCAGAAGAAGACGCCGGCUAACUACGUGCCAGCAGCCGCGGUAACUGUCG
rnacentral:rRNA from 1 species